UUAAGAGCCCACUCAUUUCCAUUUUCAGCUUGGGGAGCACGUCCAGUUUUCUCAACCACAAUUUUGGUUCCUUUAUCAUCCACAAAUUUUCUUACGUGAACAAGCAGCUCACGUUUCAUUUUUGUGGUAAAAACUUAAUCUUGCAGCUCUAUUUAAACCUCAAAUCAUCGUCCCCAAUUCGCCUUUUCCUCGGCUGUUUCGCCUACAGCAUACAAACCCAUUUCCAUCUCUCAUUACAGAAUCCAAGCUGGUAAAUUUUAAUUGAUUUUACAAAGUUAUUUCAUUUACUGUUGUUCAUCUCUGCACAAAACCAAACACCCACAAAAGUUCUUAUUUUUUUCUAAUUCAAACAUGCAUAUUCACUGCUUUACAAGAAGAAAAGGAAAAUAGAAAGAAUGAACUGGAAAGGGGGUUGUGGCUUAGAACAGGGGGAGGGGUGGUUGAGCAGCAGUACCGCCGGCGCUGCGCGCCAUGGCGGCCGGCGGAAGGAAGCAGGGGGUGGUGGCGGAAGGAGCAGGGCGGCGGCGCUAUGGUCUCGGCUGUGCGUCUCUUUUCAGGAAGAGGGAGAAGGCGGCCUGACCGGCUUGUGCUGUCGACACGGCGGCGACAAGGGUGCCGCUGCUGACGGCCAGGAGGAGGUGCUGGCAGACGGCGAGGGUCGCCGGAGAAGGGGGAGACGCGGUGAGGAGAGGGACAGAGGGAGUGAGAAUGAGGGAAGAGGGAGAGUAGGAAGAAGAGGGAGAGGCGGCGGAGCCGGCCGGUCUGCGCUGACGGCGCUGCCGUCCGGAGGUGCGGCGGCAAGAGGCCGAGAGGAGAAGGCGAGGGAGGAAGGGAGAGAGGGAGUGAGCUGCGUGUGAAUGUGUGGAGUGGAGUUGGGUGUGAGUUUAAAUUAGAGGUUGAUAGUGGGCUUGGGGCUUGGGCUUAGGUUAGUUUUAAUUAAUUGGGCUCAGUUUAUUAAGUGGUUGGGCCUUAAUUAUAAUAAUCAAUUGGGUUUUUAUUUUAAUUACUCUUCUAAGUAGCAAUUAUAAUUUAUUUAAUUAUCAUUUUUUUUCAGUUCAAAUUUUAUUGAAAGACUUUUAUAAAUAGUUUUCUCAAGUUUAGUUAUAUUAAGGUAUUUUUGUAAAGUUCAAUUAGGCCCUUAUGUUACUAUUUGAAUUUAUCUGACUAGGUGCGGCGCGACUAGGAACGUGAACUUUACAUUUCUAGCAGUUAAUUUUCAAGUUCAAGUUACAGGUGUGGGAUUUAUUUCAGUACAUGCCGUGGUUAAUUUUUGUCCAUUUUAAUAUUAUGUGUUUGCCAUAUGUGUUGUAAAUUCAGUUAUAUCGCUAGGGGCCCGCUCAAUGGGUCCAGGACUUCACCGUCCUUGGUAUGCCACAAUGCGAUUUCAUGUUACAGUUAGGGUUGCAACCUAUUCGCCAGGGGCCCACUCAAUGGGUCCAGGACUUUAAAGUCCUUGGUAUGCCACCGUGCGAAUUUCAGUUAUCAGUAUUACAGUGCAGUGCUUAUGUGUUGACCAUUUUAUUAACGUGGACAAUUAUUGCAUGUUCCCACACUGAGUAUAUUUCAUAUGCUCAUCCCAUAUUUAACAUUUUCAGGUAACUAAGGUUGGAGACGCGUAGAGGAUCGAAUGAGCGCGUCAAGUAAAUAUUUUUGGAAAAUAUAAUGUUGUAGUUACACCUAACCUUUUGCUUUGUACAGUUUUCGAAGUCUCAAACUACUCUUGAGAUUUUGGUGUAACUUAUCGAGUUUAGUGUUAUCAUAUUAGCUUCCUAUCAUGGCUGGCCUUCUUUUUAAGUUAUUUCAAAUAUUUUAUUUAAAAAUUUAUUUAUUUGAAAAUAAAUCCAAAUCUUUAUUUUAUGAUAUUUUCGCUGUCAAAAAUUAUUUAAAUUCAUAUUUAACA
rnacentral:lncRNA from 1 species